UCUUUGGAAAUAUGUCAGACUGACAGAUACAAGACAAAAAACUCGCAUUUUUUUUCAAAAAUCCGAAAAAUCCUAUUUUUUUAUAAAUAAUUAUUAGAAAUAUUUCUAAAAUUCAUACAUAGCUAAAAUAUCUACAAAAAUGCCAAUAUACUACGGAGGCUACCCCGGCGGCCCAGACGCGGGGGGCUACUGUUUGUUCUCGUACCGCUGCUGCAACCCCAGCAUCGGGGGCUGCGGCCACUGGCCCCCGCUGCCGGGGGCUAACUGCGGACCUCCUUGUCCAGGACCGCGGUGUUGAAUGUUAUUCUUGGUUUUCAGUCUGUUCUCUGUAAUCUGAAGAAUAGUCAUGUCCCAGAUCACCCACUAACUCAUGUCUGUCUAUUAAUAAAGUUUGAUAUUUAUAAAAGUUA